rnacentral:rRNA from 1 species
ACACAUGCAGUCGAACGGACUUACAUUGAAGCCUAGCGAUAUGUAAGUUAGUGGCGGACGGGUGAGUAACGCGUGGGUAACCUGCCUUGUACUGGGGGACAACAGUUGGAAACGACUGCUAAUACCGCAUAAGCGCACAGCUUCGCAUGAAGCAGUGUGAAAAACUCCGGUGGUACAAGAUGGACCCGCGUCUGAUUAGCUGGUUGGUGAGGUAACGGCCCACCAAGGCGACGAUCAGUAGCCGGCCUGAGAGGGUGAACGGCCACAUUGGGACUGAGACACGGCCCAAACUCCUACGGGAGGCAGCAGUGGGGAAUAUUGCACAAUGGGGGAAACCCUGAUGCAGCAACGCCGCGUGAGUGAAGAAGUAUUUCGGUAUGUAAAGCUCUAUCAGCAGGAAAGAAAAUGACGGUACCUGACUAAGAAGCCCCGGCUAACUACGUGCCAGCAGCCGCGGUAAUACGUAGGGGGCAAGCGUUAUCCGGAUUUACUGGGUGUAAAGGGAGCGUAGACGGUUUUGCAAGUCUGAAGUGAAAGCCCGGGGCUUAACCCCGGGACUGCUUUGGAAACUGUAGAACUAGAGUGCAGGAGAGGUAAGUGGAAUUCCUAGUGUAGCGGUGAAAUGCGUAGAUAUUAGGAGGAACACCAGUGGCGAAGGCGGCUUACUGGACUGUAACUGACGUUGAGGCUCGAAAGCGUGGGGAGCAAACAGGAUUAGAUACCCUGGUAGUCCACGCCGUAACGAUGAUUACUAGGUGUUGGUGGGUACGACCCAUCGGUGCCGCAGCAAACGCAAUAAGUAAUCCACCUGGGGAGUACGUUCGCAAGAAUGAAACUCAGAGGAAUUGACGGGGACCCGCACAAGCGGUGGAGCAUGUGGUUUAAUU